rnacentral:rRNA from 1 species
GAUGAACGCUGACAGCAUGCUUAACACAUGCAAGUCAACUGUGGUGGACGGGUGAGUAACGCGUAAAGAACUUGCCUCACAGUUCGGUACAACAUUUGGAAACGAAUGCUAAUAACUGACACUGUGAGAGAGCUUUGCGUCCCAUUAUCUAGUUGGAGAGGUAACGGCUCACAGAGGCGAUGAUGGGUAGCCGGCCUGAGAGGGUGAUCGGCCACGAGGGGAAUGGGAAACGGCCCUUACGCCUACGGGAGGCAGCAGUGGGGAAUAUUGAACAAUGGACCAAAGUCUGAGCCAGCAAUUCUGUGUGCACGAUGAAGUUUUCAGAAUGUAAAGUGCUGUCAGUUAGGAAGCGGUACCAUCAGAAGAAGUGACGGCUAAAUACGUGCCAGCAGCCGCGGUAAUAC